UUGACCCCGAACACCUGUGCUCUUGUUGAAAUGUUAUUAAACAGACCAGUAUGUUUGGAGUGUUAUAAAGACUGUAAAGAACUGGGAUGGUUUAUAUUGUGUUACAGAGGAGCGACAGUUGCUGUAGGCACGGUGACAGAGGUCUUGUGACAACUAGAAACCCCCAUGGAGUUAGUUUUUAAAACAACCAGAUGUUGCCUUGAUGUAAAAUCUUAAUAAAAUUUUAACCACUGUCAAAAAUGUUCAAAUUUUGUAUUCUUGUAUAAAAAAAGUGGAUUUUGUAUAAUAGAGUUAAAGGUGUCGGAUUUGUUUAGUGAGUAAAUAAAAUUGUGGUUAAAAGGUA